GUGGGGAUUUAUAAUCCACUUUAGGAGAUGGCGAAUACAUUGGUGGAGGUGGAGGAGAACUGUAUACGUAAGGAGGUGGUGGAGACUUGUAGUCAACUUUCGGUGCAGGAGAAUUGUACAUUGGGGGUGGUGGAGAGCUAUAAGUGUAGGGCUCAUAAGAAGCAGCAACCAUUGUUGCCAUGAUUACAAAACCAA